AGGAGGUCUCUUUGGGGUAGAUUAUCCAGGAGAUACCUCGAGGGAGAUAGAGAGAACCCUACAAGGCCAGAAAAAAGGAGAUCAGUUUGGAGCAGGUUUUCUCGACAAUCAGAGGAAGGUCAAAUCGGCUGGCAAAACACGAGGUAGGAACAGUUUUUGUUGUUAAAUCUA